UCCCUGGUGGUCCAGUGGUUAGGACUCUGAACUCUCAUUUUCGAGGGCCCAGGUUCAGUUCCUGGAAGGGGAA
rnacentral:tRNA from 1 species